UGCAACCUGUACUUGUUAACAAGGACAUACUGUUUCAUAAAAUGUUUAAAUUUUAUGUUUUGUGUGUGCAGAAUGUAUAAUGUAUUUAUUAAUGUGGCUCAUGGUUAAAAACAACCACCAAACAAAACCUGACCAUGGAGUAACCAGCCAGAUGCUCAUCUGUUCACCCCUCUCCAAACCUGCGUCACGGCUUGUACAUGAAACAGAACCUAGGAAUCUCAACUAGAUCCAUUGAUACCAGCGAAAAUUGAGCUUCCAGUUGAACCCACC
rnacentral:lncRNA from 1 species